rnacentral:rRNA from 1 species
GAUGAACGCUGGCGGCGUGCCUAAUACAUGCAAGUCGAGCGAACAGGCGAGGAGCUUGCUCCUCUGACGUUAGCGGCGGACGGGUGAGUAACACGUGGAUAACCUACCUAUAAGACUGGGAUAACUUCGGGAAACCGGAGCUAAUACCGGAUAAUAUAUUGAACCGCAUGGUUCAAUAGUGAAAGACGGUUUUGCUGUCACUUAUAGAUGGAUCCGCGCCGCAUUAGCUAGUUGGUAAGGUAACGGCUUACCAAGGCAACGAUGCGUAGCCAACCUGAUAGGAUGAUCGGCCACACUGGAACUGAGUCACGUUCCAGACUCCAACGGGAGGCAGCAGUAGGUAAUCUCCCGAAAAGUGCGAAAGCCUGACGGAGCAACGCCGAGAGAGUGAUGAAGGUCUACGUGUCGUAAAACUCUGGUAUUAGGGAAGAACAAAUGUGUAAGUAACUAUGCAUGUCUUGACGGUACCAAAACAGAAUGCCACGGCUAACUACGU